AUACGACAAAAUUACCAUCCACUCCUUCGUAAAAAGAAGUAGCAAGCAGACUGUGAAGAAGUUAUCGACGGGAAGAGAAGAGGUGGGAGACUAGAGUAAUCAAAUCAAAUCACUUCAUCUUCGUUCCUCACGAUUCUCUUUGCUUUCGCCAAACAAACAGAGAUUCGUAGAUUCUCUCUCUUGUCUCACUGCCUUAUUCGGAUUUCGUAACCAAUGGCUUUGCCUAACCAACACACUGUUGAUUAUCCGAGCUUCAAGCUCGUCCUUGUCGGCUAUGGAGGCACUGUUCGUUUUAAGAGGCAUCCGACUGGAGAGUUUGAAAAAAAACCGAGCUAAGUGUUUUACCGACAUUGUUUGUGGGAAAGUUCUCUUUUGAUUUAUGAGCCGUUUCAGCAAUUGAUUGGCUUGUUAUCGGUGUUCACUUAAGUGUUUUAUCAUUUUGAUUAUACAGCAACCAUUGAUGUGGUGGUUCACCCAUUGGACUUCUUCACUAACUGUGGAAAAAUCCGUUUUUACUGCUCGGAUACUUCUAGACAGGCGAAGUUUGGUCCUGUCAUAGAUGGUUACUUCUUUAUGUAACUAUGUUGUUGCAAAUGUGGGGUCUGUGGGAAUGUUCCUAUUGUUCUUUGCGGUAACAAGGUUGAUGAAAAGAACAGGCUGGUCAAGUCGAAGCUGGUCACAGUCUGCAGGUAGAAGAAUCUGUAAUAUUAUGAAAUUUCUGCCAAGAGCAACUACAAUUUUGAGAAGCCUUUCUUGUACCUUGCCAGGAAGCUUGCUGGUGAUCCUAAUCUUCACUUUGUGGAGUCUCCUGCUUUUGUUCCUCCAGAAGUGCACAUUGACUUGGCUGCACAACAAUGACAUGAAGCUGAACUUGCAGCAGGCAGCCAGCCAGCCAGCCCCAUCCAGAUGACGAUGAUGAUAUAUUUGAAUAGAGGGUUUUCACUGCUUGAGGGGCUUCUUCAACAUUUUCUGCUACUUUAAAUCUUGCCUUCAUUUGGAUGUGCUGUCAUCUUCUUAAUAUUUUCAGAUUAUAUGGUGGAGUUGUCUGUCAGCUUAUUGAGGACGGCAGACCAAUGUAGCUAAGAUUUUUGGCAUAUAUUUGUUUUGGGGUCUUUGGUCGUGUUUUGUUAUUGUUGGUUGCCAUGUUGGUGUUCUGAAUUUUGCUUUCAGUAAAAUUAAUGCCCUAAUUCCUAUAUAUUUUGAAUUUGAAUCAAUUAGUGAGAAGAAUAUUCCAAUUCUCCUAUGACCAAAAUUUUCUUUGGGUGCUUGUGUGUAUAGCCAUGCCAUUCCCCAUGUAAUGUUAAGAUAGUUAAAAAAUGCGGUUUAGGUCCAGGAUGGUCGGCUGCCAUCCUUAAUGGGCUUGAAAUGAACACUGCUGAGUGCUGACCGUGGUUUGUAGUCUGAGAAGCUGAAGCAGCGAACCACCCGAUAUUUCCUUACCGCCUCUGAAGCACUGGGUUUCAAAAUCUCGUAUCUUAACGAUUGACAUGUUCAAAGUUACGA